rnacentral:rRNA from 1 species
UACGAAGGGGGCUAGCGUUGCUCGGAAUCACUGGGCGUAAAGGGUGCGUAGGCGGGUCUUUAAGUCAGGGGUGAAAUGCCAAGGCUCAACCUUGGAACUGCCUUUGAUACUGGAGACCUUGAGUCCGGGAGAGGUGAGUGGAAUUGCGAGUGUAGAGGUGAAAUUCGUAGAUAUUCGCAAGAACACCAGUGGCGAAGGCGGCUCACUGGCCCGGAACUGACGCUGAGAUGCGAAAGCGUGGGGAGCAAACAGG